rnacentral:rRNA from 1 species
GAUGAACGCUGGCGGCGUGCCUAAUACAUGCAAGUCGAGCGAACAGACGAGGAGCUUGCUCCUCUGACGUUAGCGGCGGACGGGUGAGUAACACGUGGAUAACCUACCUAUAAGACUGGGAUAACUUCGGGACUCCGGAGCUAAUACCGGAUAAUAUAUUGCACCGCAUGGUUCAAUAGUGAAAGUCGGUUUUGCUGUCACUUAUCGAUGGAUCCGCGCCGCAUUAGCUAGUUGGUAAGGUAACGGCUUACCAAGGCAACGAUGCGUAGCCGACCUGAGAGAGUGGUCGGCCACACGGGAACUGAGACACGGACCAGACUCCUGCGGGAGGCAGCAGUAGGGAAUCUUCCGCAAUGGGCGAAAGCCUGACGGAGCAACGCCGCGUGAGUGAUGAAGGUCUUCGGAUCGUAAAACUCUGUUAUGAGGGAAGAACAAAUGUGUAAGUAACUAUGCACGUCUUGACGGUACCUAAUCAGAAAGCCACGGCUAACUACGUG